ACGAACGCUGGCGGCGUGCUUCACACAUGCAAGUCGAACGGAAAGGCCCUGCUUUUGUGGGGUGCUCGAGUGGCGAACGGGUGAGUAACACGUGAGUAACCUGCCCUUGACUUUGGGAUAACUUCAGGAAACUGGGGCUAAUACCGGAUAGGAGCUCCUGCUGCAUGGUGGGGGUUGGAAAGUUUCGGCGGUUGGGGAUGGACUCGCGGCUUAUCAGCUUGUUGGUGGGGUAGUGGCUUACCAAGGCUUUGACGGGUAGCCGGCCUGAGAGGGUGACCGGCCACAUUGGGACUGAGAUACGGCCCAGACUCCUACGGGAGGCAGCAGUGGGGAAUAUUGCACAAUGGGCGGAAGCCUGAUGCAGCAACGCCGCGUGCGGGAUGACGGCCUUCGGGUUGUAAACCGCUUUCGCCUGUGACGAAGCGUGAGUGACGGUAAUGGAUAAAGAAGCACCGGCUAACUACGUG
rnacentral:rRNA from 1 species